rnacentral:rRNA from 1 species
UGCGAGUCGAGCGGGCGUAGCAAUACGUCAGCGGCAGACGGGUGAGUAACGCGUGGGAACGUACCUUUUGGUUCGGAACAACACAGGGAAACUUGUGCUAAUACCGGAUAAGCCCUUACGGGGAAAGAUUUAUCGCCGAAAGAUCGGCCCGCGUCUGAUUAGCUAGUUGGUGGGGUAAAGGCCCACCAAGGCGACGAUCAGUAGCUGGUCUGAGAGGAUGAUCAGCCACAUUGGGACUGAGACACGGCCCAAACUCCUACGGGAGGCAGCAGUGGGGAAUAUUGGACAAUGGGCGCAAGCCUGAUCCAGCCAUGCCGCGUGAGUGAUGAAGGCCCUAGGGUUGUAAAGCUCUUUUGUGCGGGAAGAUAAUGACGGUACCGCAAGAAUAAGCCCCGGCUAACUUCGUGCCAGCAGCCGCGGUAAUACGAAGGGGGCUAGCGUUGCUCGGAAUCACUGGGCGUAAAGGGUGCGUAGGCGGGUCUUUAAGUCAGGGGUGAAAUCCUGGAGCUCAACUCCAGAACUGCCUUUGAUACUGAAGAUCUUGAGUUCGGGAGAGGUGAGUGGAACUGCGAGUGUAGAGGUGAAAUUCGUAGAUAUUCGCAAGAACACCAGUGGCGAAGGCGGCUC